GACGAACGCUGGCGGCGUGCUUAACACAUGCAAGUCGAACGGAAAGGCCUGCUUUCCCUUGUGGAUUGCGGGUACUCGAGUGGCGAACGGGUGAGUAACACGUGAGUGAUCUGCCCCCAACUUGGGUAUAAGCCUGGGAAACUGGGUCUAAUUCCCGAUAGGACUGCAGGGUGGUGCCUGUGGUGGAAAACGAUUUUCUAGUGGUUGGGGAUGAGCUCGCGGCCUAUCAGCUUGUUGGUGGGGUAAUGGCCUACCAAGGCGGCGACGGGUAGCCGGCCUGAGAGGGUGGACGGCCACAUUGGGACUGAGAUACGGCCCAGACUCCUACGGGAGGCAGCAGUGGGGAAUAUUACACAAUGGGCGGAAGCCUGAUGCAGCGACGCCGCGUGGGGGAUGACGGCCUUCGGGUUGUAAACUCCUUUCGACCGCGAGGAAGCCACCUGGUUGGAAGGGUGGUAACGGUAGUGGUAGAAGAAGCACCGGCUAACUACGUG
rnacentral:rRNA from 1 species